UACGGAGGGUGCAAGCGUUAUCCGGAUUCACUGGGUUUAAAGGGUGCGUAGGUGGGCAAGUAAGUCAGUGGUGAAAUCUCCGGGCUUAACCCGGAAACUGCCAUUGAUACUAUUUGUCUUGAAUAUUGUGGAGGUAAGCGGAAUAUGUCAUGUAGCGGUGAAAUGCUUAGAUAUGACAUAGAACACCAAUUGCGAAGGCAGCUUACUACACAGUUAUUGACGCUGAGGCACGAAAGCGUGGGGAUCAAACAGG
rnacentral:rRNA from 1 species